rnacentral:rRNA from 1 species
AUGCAAGACUACUUCACGGACAAUCCUACCUAUCCGUCGCACCUCUUCCGGAGAAGGUAUCGAAUGUGCCGAUCCCUCUUCAUAAAAAUAGUGCAAGCUUGAGAGGCCAAUUGUCGGUUUUUUACUCAAAGGAGAAAUGACGCGGGCUUGUUGGGUUUUAGCGCAUAUCAAAAUAUCUCGGCUGCUAUGCGGGUGAUUGCAUAUGGCAUUCUAACUGACUAUGCCGACGAGUAUAUUCGCAUUGGCGAAGAUACUACAAUUAAUUGA